AAGUGUUACAAAAUCCAGGGGAUGCUGACACAAAGGCCCUCUUUAGUCCAGGGGUAGCCGUUUUUUCCUUGUGAACUGAAGUUUCUGAAUUCAGCAGUUGCAGCCAUUGUCAAACAGAAAAGAAGAUUUUUACAAAAAGGCAAAUACAGAUAAAAUAGAUGUUCGAAAACUUGUUGACGUCAGCAAAAAUAAUUGUCCACAGUCAUCAUUUGAGACAUGAUUUGUGAUUGCCAUGUCACAAGCAUCUUUAUAACUUGUAAGGGAAGUUAUGGGAAAUGGAUUUUUGUCUACCCCUUUACCGCAGGGACUCUACUCCCCGCGCUUACACUGGGCUUGGAUAGGGAAAAACAUUAUGUUACAUACGGAAAUUGGGGACUACUUUGCUGAAACUGAGACAAUAAAACAGAAAAAAUGCACACAUAAAAAGAAACUGGCUAUUGUACUAUUUUUUACUUCCUUCGUGAAAACUGGAGAAAAAAUUUUAUAGUUUUUUUUUAUUUUUUUCAGAAAAUAGUGUUAUAUUUUAUGCCAUUUGAUACAAUAAAACAUUAAUUUGAAACCGUUUGAUUUUGAAUUUUAUAGUAUUUUACGAACUUUGUGAAUUGGAAAUCCCGUAUGGCUGAUAGGUCACAACAUAUUAACAAUUCAUUAAUUACAAAAAAUGACUAAAAUAUGCAGCCGGUUUUAUUAUUUAAGAACUACAAUCGAUUACACAUAUUUAAGAGUUCUAAUUACUCACACAUAUUUGAACUCACAUUUCCAAUCACAAUCAUUAUUAAACACCAAU